rnacentral:rRNA from 1 species
GACGAACGCUGGCGGCGUGCCUAAUACAUGCAAGUAGAACGCUGAAGAGAGGAGCUUACUCUUCUUGGAUGAGUUGCGAACGGGUGAGUAACGCGUAGGUAACCUGCCUUGUAGCGGGGGAUAACUAUUGGAAACGAUAGCUAAUACCGCAUAACAAUGGAUGACACAUGUCAUUUAUUUGAAAGGGGCAAUUGCUCCACUACAAGAUGGACCUGCGUUGUAUUAGCUAGUAGGUGAGGUAAUGGCUCACCUAGGCGACGAUACAUAGCCGACCUGAGAGGGUGAUCGGCCACACUGGGACUGAGACACGGCCCAGACUCCUACGGGAGGCAGCAGUAGGGAAUCUUCGGCAAUGGGGGCAACCCUGACCGAGCAACGCCGCGUGAGUGAAGAAGGUUGUCGGAUCGUAAAGCUCGGUUGUAAGUCAAGAACGGGUGUGAGAGUGGAAAGUUCACACUGUGACGGUAGCUGACCAGAAAGGGACGGCUAACUACGUG